AUUGAACGCUGGCGGCAGGCUUAACACAUGCAAGUCGAACGAUGAUUAUCUAGCUUGCUAGAUAUGAUUAGUGGCGGACGGGUGAGUAACAUUUAGGAAUCUGCCUAGUAGUGGGGGAUAGCUCGGGGAAACUCGAAUUAAUACCGCAUACGACCUACGGGUGAAAGGGGGCGCAAGCUCUUGCUAUUAGAUGAGCCUAAAUCAGAUUAGCUAGUUGGUGGGGUAAAGGCCCACCAAGGCGACGAUCUGUAACUGGUCUGAGGGGAUGAUCAGUCACACCGGAACUGAGACACGGUCCGGACUCCUACGGGAGGCAGCAGUGGGGAAUAUUGGACAAUGGGGGCAACCCUGAUCCAGCCAUGCCGCGUGUGUGAAGAAGGCCUUUUGGUUGUAAAGCACUUUAAGCAGGGAGGAGAGGCUAAUGGUUAAUACCCAUUAGAUUAGACGUUACCUGCAGAAUAAGCACCGGCUAACUCUGUGCCAGCAGCCGCGGUAAUACAGAGGGUGCGAGCGUUAAUCGGAAUUACUGGGCGUAAAGCGAGUGUAGGUGGCUCAUUAAGUCACAUGUGAAAUCCCCGGGCUUAACCUGGGAACUGCAUGUGAUACUGGUGGUGCUAGAAUAUGUGAGAGGGAAGUAGAAUUCCAGGUGUAGCGGUGAAAUGCGUAGAGAUCUGGAGGAAUACCGAUGGCGAAGGCAGCUUCCUGGCAUAAUAUUGACACUGAGAUUCGAAAGCGUGGGUAGCAAACAGGAUUAGAUACCCUGGUAGUCCACGCCGUAAACGAUGUCUACUAGCCGUUGGGGUCCUUGAGACUUUAGUGGCGCAGUUAACGCGAUAAGUAGACCGCCUGGGGAGUACGGCCGCAAGGUUAAAACUCAAAUGAAUUGACGGGGGCCCGCACAAGCGGUGGAGCAUGUGGUUUAAUUCGAUGCAACGCGAAGAACCUUACCUGGUCUUGACAUAGUGAGAAUCUUUCAGAGAUGAGAGAGUGCCUUCGGGAAUUCACAUACAGGUGCUGCAUGGCUGUCGUCAGCUCGUGUCGUGAGAUGUUGGGUUAAGUCCCGCAACGAGCGCGACCCUUUUCCUUAUUUGCCAGCGGGUUAAGCCGGGAACUUUAAGGAUACUGCCAGUGACAAACUGGAGGAAGGCGGGGACGACGUCAAGUCAUCAUGGCCCUUACGACCAGGGCUACGCACGUGCUACAAUGGUAGGUACAGAGGGUUGCUACACAGCGAUGUGAUGCUAAUCUCAAAAAGCCUAUCGUAGUCCGGAUUGGAGUCUGCAACUCGACUCCAUGAAGUCGGAAUCGCUAGUAAUCGCAGAUCAGAAUGCUGCGGUGAAUACGUUCCCGGGCCU
rnacentral:rRNA from 1 species